rnacentral:rRNA from 1 species
UACGAAGGGGGCUAGCGUUGCUCGGAAUUACUGGGCGUAAAGCGCACGUAGGCGGAUCUUUAAGUCAGGGGUGAAAUCCUGGAGCUCAACUCCAGAACUGCCUUUGAUACUGAGGACCUUGAGUUCGGGAGAGGUGAGUGGAACUGCGAGUGUAGAGGUGAAAUUCGUAGAUAUUCGCAAGAACACCAGUGGCGAAGGCGGCUCACUGGCCCGAUACUGACGCUGAGGUGCGAAAGCGUGGGGAGCAACAGGG